GUUGUUUUCUAAGGGGCAUCUUCUAGGUGUCCCGCGUAUCUUGUCGAUUGACGAGCUUGUAUGUCUUCACAAAGUUCACGCAUGCACUAUCGAAGGCUCACGGUGACCCUGCGAGCACAUUUUUUCGUGAGGCGAGGGCCAGGAAAACGAGGAACUUUUCGAAGUUUCAGGAAUUCAGCACUGUGACCAUGGUCUUUUCCUCCAUACUGAGUAAAAAGAGACACUUUCACUUGAAGAAAUGCUCACCACGCUCUCUCUUCCAUGGCAUUUCCGUCGCCUGCGCACCGGGUUCUUCGGGGUCAGUCAAGUGUCAAGAAGAGGAAUCAGGUAGUUUCGCGCCGCCUAUGUUGGUGUUGCCACAACCUCGCAUCGGUUUGUAAGCGGACUCUGUCGAAUCUGUUUUCUGAAGGUGGCUCUAUUGCAGCACACCUCACCGCUGCAUGCCCAAGGUACAAGCUCCGGGAGUAUCAACUUCUACGAUGAAAACGGAAAUAUACUCCCUCGGACUAAGCUGCUUCUUCCUACUUACACUGCGUCAGAUGCUGGUGUCUGAGUGUUGAUUUGAAAUUCGGUGACAAUGUUACAGCAUGGGUCGACUGUUGACACAGAGACAUGUUUGCAGUCAAUGGAUUGAAGCCAGACUGUGGCCACGUCUACCACCUAGUGAGAUUUGGUGUUUUGUAACGAAUCCCUGAAACCGAAGAGUGCCGG
rnacentral:lncRNA from 1 species